rnacentral:rRNA from 1 species
GUCAUGCCAAUGGCACUGCCCGGUAGCUAAAUGCGGAAGAGAUAAGUGCUGAAAGCAUCUAAGCACGAAACUUGCCCCGAGAUGAGUUCUCCCUGACCCUUUAAGGGUCCUGAAGGAACGUUGAAGACGACGACGUUGAUAGGCCGGGUGUGUAAGCGCAGCGAUGCGUUGAGCUAACCGGUACUAAUGAACCGUGAGGCUUAACCUU